CAACUUUCAACAACGGAUCUCUUGGCUCUCGCAUCGAUGAAGAACGCAGCGAAAUGCGAUAAGUAAUGUGAAUUGCAGAAUUCAGUGAAUCAUCGAAUCUUUGAACGCACCUUGCGCCCCUUGGUAUUCCGAGGGGCAUGCCUGUUUGAGUGUCAUGU
rnacentral:rRNA from 16 species